GUGCCAGCAGCCGCGGUAAUUCCAGUCUCCAAUAGCGUAUAUUAAAGUUGUUGUGGUUAAAAAGCUCGUAGUUGAACCUUGGGCCUGGCUGGCCGGUCCGCCUCACCGCGUGCACUGGUCCGGCCGGGCCUUUCCCUCUGUGGAACCCCAUACCCUUCACUGGGCGUGGCGGGGAAACAGGACAUUUACUUUGAAAAAAUUAGAGUGCUCCAGGCAGGCCUAUGCUCGAGUACAUUAGCAUGGAAUAAUAAAAUAGGACGCGCGGUUCUAUUUUGUUGGUUUAUAGGACCGCCGUAAUGAUUAAUAGGGACAGUCGGGGGCAUCAGUAUUCAACUGUCAGAGGUGAAAUUCUUGGAUCAGUUGAAGACUAACUACUGCGAAAGCAUUUGCCAAGGAUGUUUUCAUUAAUCAGGAACGAAAGUUAGGGGAUCGAAGACGAUCAGAUACCGUCGUAGUCUUAACCAUAAACUAUGCCGACUAGGGAUCGGACGGUGUUAUUCAUGACCCGUUCGGCACCUUACGAGAAAUCAAAGUGCUUGGGCUCCAGGGGGAGUAUGGUCGCAAGGCUGAAACUUAAAGAAAUUGACGGGAAGGGCACCACCAGGGGUGGAGCCUGCGGCUUAAAUUUGACUCAACACGGGAAACUCACCAGGUCCAGACACAAUAAGGGAUUGACAGAUUGAGAGCUCUUUCUAGAUUUUGUGGGUGGUGAUGCAUGGCCGUUCUAGUGGUGGGUGACUUGUCUGCUUAAUUGCGAUAACGAACGAGACCUUAACCUGCUAAAUAGCCCGCAUUGCUUCGGC
rnacentral:rRNA from 1 species